rnacentral:lncRNA from 1 species
UGCUUCAGGAAAUCAGCACAGUAUGCUAGUACUGUGCUGAUCCUUCUUUGAUGGUUGAUCAGGUGCCUCCUUCUUCUUGAUUUGGACUCUUCCAAAGAUGAAAAGUAAAAGGAGGAGUUUCAGAUCUGAGAUGCUCUCAGGAAACUCAAGAUGGAGGGAGGAAAGAUAUGAAAAUAAAAAACCCUAGAAGAAGACCCUCUUCUUCUUCUCGUUUCUCUCUCUAGACACCCUAACUUGUAUCUUUUAUAUCUCCACGACCCAAAGGUCUUUCUCUCUAAUUUUUGGAUGGCUCAAAGGUCUCUCAAAUAUCUAUCUUCUUCAAAAUUUUCAAAAAUAAACUCAUCUUAUAUAGAGAGAUAUGAUAGAGUCCUUGUCUAGGUCAAAUACCUAGUCAAGGCUUAUCCAAACAUGGCAAGUUAAGGGAUGCCCAACUCUUGAGCACCUCCUUCAUAUUUUCAUUCAUGGAUCACCAGCAAAGGGUGCACAAUGUAUACCCUAAAAGCCACAAAAAUUCCAAAAAAAUUUGGAUAAAUUCGGUGCAAAAUUGAAAGAGUUUUGGAUUUCUAAAACUUUAUCUCAUAGAAUUCGAAAUCCAAACUUAUUCCUUUUUGAUUUGAUCCAAACCACCUUCCAUGUAAGAAAGAAGAGAGGAGACCUUUUGUGAAUGUGGGAG